GUUAUUGUAGCUUAAUUAUAAAGCACAGCACUGAAAAUGCCGAGACGGAUAAUGAAACGUGUCCCAAAAACA
rnacentral:tRNA from 1 species